rnacentral:rRNA from 1 species
GAUGAACGCUGGCGGCGUGCCUAAUACAUGCAAGUCGAGCGAACGGACGCGACGCUUGCUUCUCUGAUGUUAGCGGCGGACGGGUGAGUCACACGUGUAUCCCCUCCCUAUAAUACUGGGAUCACCUCGGGAAACCGGCGCUAAUACCGGAUGAUAUUUUGAUCCGCAUGGUUGAAAGGUGAAAUUCGGUCUUGCUGUCACUUCUCGCUGGUUCCGCGCUGCAUUAGCUGGUUGGUACGGUAACGGCUUACCAAGGCUACGAUGCAUAGCCGACCUGAGAGAGUGAUCGGCCACAUGGGAGCGUAGACACGGUCCUGGCGCCUGCGGGAGGGAGCAGUAGGGAAUCGGCGGCAAUGGGCGAAAGCCUGGCGGAGCAAGGCCGAGUGAGUUACGGAGGCCCCGGGAGCGUAAAGCUCUGUUAUGGGUUAUGAACAGAUUUGGAAGGAAAUGUGGCGAUCGUGACGGUACCUAAUCAAGAAGCCACGGCUAACUACGUG